GCCUCGGUGGCGCAGCGGUAGUAAGCGUACUGUCUGUGACACCAGAGGUCCCGGGUUCGAAUCCCGGCCGGGGCA